CGCGGUCCUAUAAGACGCUGCUUGUUUAAGUACAGUCGCAUUUAGUUGGAGCUGCAGGGGAGUGAGGGAGAGGAGGGUAGGAAGGACGAGAGCGGGAGAGCUUGAGGGAGAAGGGGGCUCGCUGUGUUUACACGAGGCACAGGCUCGAGCGUCCAUCCCGGGCCCUGGCUGGCGCUCUUGCGGAGGGAGCGAAGCUGUUCUGGCUCCGGCCGUCUUGUGGCAGGAGCUGAUCUGUCCGGGUUGCCGGAGCUGGGAGAGCCCAGAGGGAAACCGAGGGACACGAGCGGCGUGGUGCACUAGAGAGAGCGCGAGCGGCAGAGGCGAGAGCGGAGCGCGCGAGGGAGCAUCGAGCGCGGCGGAGACAUGAGGACCUACUGGCUGCACAGCGUCUGGGUGCUGGGCUUCUUCCUGUCCCUCUUCUCGCUGCAAGGGUUAUAACCUCAACAGGAUGAAUUCCACUAUGCUUCCUGCAAUAGAUGGGUCACAUCUCUCCUUCUGGACCAUGUUGUGUGUUGGGGCAAAGUAUCUCUGAAAUUUGCAUUAGAAGAUACAGGUUGGAGGGUCAGUUUUUAUUCCUACUGUGUGUACAAUCCUAGACAAGGUGCAAUCUAUCUGAGCUCCUAUUGUUUUCCAAGCCUGUGAUCCAUCUUAUUAUCCUAAGUAUUGUGUUGCAUUAUAAAUAUCAUUUGUUGAAAAUAAGGUUGAUAUAUUUUCAUGACAUUCUAGGUGUAUUUUGCAUUGUAUAAUAAGUCUAGUGCCAGAGAUGCUGGAUCUCACAAGUAUAGCUGGUACAGAGGAAUGAAGGAUCUGAGACCAUGUGGGGUGGAGAUAGACCUGAAUGGAAUGUAGGAAUGGUUCCCAAGGCGAGGGUCAGGAUAGAUGUUCAGUAGUAUCAUAUGUAGAGCAUACAAAAAGGGAUAGUGAUCUCAAGCCAGGUUUCAGCUGGUGUAUGUGCGUUUGAGCCAGCUUCUAUUUGUAUAUCUAAGGAAGGCCCAUCUGGUUAGUGGGGCAUGGAAUUAACACUGCAGGCAUCGUCAUAACACUUGAAGCCAUAUUGGUGACAACUUUACAGUGUGGUUGUUUCAAGGGGAGCAAAUAUGUCUAAGGAGGAACCUAGCCAUGAACUGAUCAUAGGAGAGUAGGUUAUAUCUAAGGCUGAGAGAGUGAAAGGGCAUCAUGUAGUUCAGCUGGGCUCCAGCCUGUCUUCAGUUCCCUAGAAAGCCAAAGUAGAAGUUCGCUUGUAUGGAUUAGCCAAUCUGAGAGGCAUGGUCUAAUAUUUUGAUGAAAUAAGCUUGCUGCCUCAUCUGCCUAUCUAGGGCAGAGCUUCUGGAUCUGAAUCAAAUAUUAGCUCCCAGGGAAACUAUUACGUGGCUUCUAAGUUAGUUUUUCCUCUGCGCUCUCAACACCACGUUAAGACAACUAAAAUGGAAUUUAACAUCACAGCACUUCCAUUUUUCGUAAGUCUACUUUGCCUUUAGAUCAUGAGCUCCUUAAGUGCAGGCAUAAAAUUGCUUUCAGCUGCAUAUCUUCAGUGCUUAGGGCAACACCUGGCACAGAUACACAAGAAAUGCUUAUUGAAUAAAUGAAUGAAUUAACAAAGCUGCAUUUCAGGGCCAUAAGAUAUAACUUGGAAUACUGGUUAACCAUCCUGAAAAGGCAUGCCUUUAUCAAAUAAUUAACCAGGUUCGCGGUAGGGAUGAUUUGAUGUCUGUGACACAUGUUGGGGUGAGGAUGAGGGAGAAGUCAAAGUUGUCUUCUGUACCUUCCUCAGCUUUCUUCUGAAACAUUGGGACCGAAGUCUCCAUCCCAACUAAGGGCACAGUGCCACACACAGGAGUGCCUCUGGCUUCUUCUAGUGCAGUAUUAGGGAAGCAAUUGCAAGCACAUAUCUUACCAAUAGAGGGUUCCUCUUGUCAUAUGAGGUUGAUUCAUUAUGAAUGUGAAUAUCCCAUUGUAGUACUCAAUAAAACUGACUAGAAAGAAAAGAAAGGACUUAAAUUUUUUUUUCUCAGCAUCAGAUUUUGUCGGUAAGGACCUUACUGGGGAAAUUCUCUAGAAUUACUUUGGUUUACAGUGAUCCUAUCGGUUUUUUAAAUAAUUAGAAAGCACUUUGCUAAGGGAAGUGUUAGUGUCUGCGUUAGUUUGAAGGCAUUUUGGAUUAAUCAGGCAGUUGAUUGUCCUGAAUUGUUGAGCAGGCCCAGAUUUCACUGCCAUAAACACAGAGAAGUACUUUUCUCUAAACUUGACUUGUAACAAAGAAUAAGUUUCAUCAGACUUUUUUUUUUUUUAAUCCAAAGUUAGGGACUUUGCUCAAGUAGGACUUUUUUGCUUAAUCUUCACACCCUCCUAUUUCAGAGUGCUGAAUUACCAAGUAAGCCAAGAGAAGAUUAUACUAAAAAUGGGACUCUCAGGAUUGUGAACUUAUUCAGCAGAGAUUUUACAGGGACCUCAGGG
rnacentral:lncRNA from 1 species